UCACCUCAAUUUGGUGCUUGCCUACCUAAAUUUACUUUUAAUGUGCCGACAGAGGAGAAAAAGCUAGUUCUUGUUUCAGAUGCUUUGGUCUCCUAUUCUUCUCAAUACCCAUUAUUGAUUCUUGAAUUCUCGACCUGUUGCUGUUCUGGGUUCUUGAUCGGAUUCGGUUCCAAACAGAAAUCGCUUUCUGGAGGCCAUGAGUUCAAAAACGAGGGUUUUGGUCCUGGCACAGUUAUUUUAUGUGAUCAGGUUCUUACUGAGGGUAAACAAAAAGAUGUACUUAAAGCUGCCGGUGCAUUGUUUUCACAUAUUUGUGAGGUUUAGGCAAGGUUAAUGUGCAUCACAUUUAUGGACAAGCUAGUAUCGUGGGGGUUAAU